rnacentral:tRNA from 1 species
GUGGCCGUAGUUCAGUUGGUAGAACUCGAGAUUGUGAUUCUCGUAGUCGCGGAUUCAAAUUCCGCCGGCCACCCCA